rfam:Cucumis sativus cultivar 9930 chromosome 3, whole genome shotgun sequence.
AAGGCAGGGAUUGUGUGUAUCGGCGUAGUGCUAAUUUCAGUGCACUCUGUUCCGAAAGUAUUCCCUGCGACAUCAAUCUUGAAGGGGGGAAGGUGGGCAGUUGUGAUUCAUCUCCAUUGAAUUUUCAACAAUCAUCUUCCCUACAUUG